rnacentral:rRNA from 1 species
UACGGAGGGUGCGAGCGUUGUCCGGAAUCACUGGGCGUAAAGGGCGCGUAGGCGGCUCGGUAAGUAGGGGGUGAAAUCCUGCGGCUUAACCGCAGGGCUGCCUUCUAAACUGUCGAGCUCGAGCACGGUAGAGGCAGAUGGAAUUCCCGGUGUAGCGGUGAAAUGCGCAGAUAUCAGGAGGAACACCCGUGGCGAAAGCGGCUCUCUGGGACGGUACUGACGCUGAGACGCGAAAGCGUGGGGAGCAAACAGG